rnacentral:rRNA from 1 species
CUCCUACGGGAGGCAGCAGUGGGGAAUUUUGGACAAUGGGCGAAAGCCUGAUCCAGCAAUGCCGCGUGUGUGAAGAAGGCCUUCGGGUUGUAAAGCACUUUUGUCCGGAAAGAAAUCCUUGGUUCUAAUAUAGCCGGGGGAUGACGUACCGAAGAA